GAGACAAGUGGAUCCCUGGAGACUCCUGACCCAACUAGUCCUAGCCAAGUGAACUCAAUAUAAAGACCAGGGAAGCCUCGAACUCACAGAGAUCCUCCUAUUUCUACCUGGCUCUCCUAAUUUCUUUCCAAUAAUGGCUAUGCCAAGCAAGAGGCUAUGAGAGGCAAAAGGAUAGCCGAAGCAAAGGAAUAGCGGACAAGAAAGACAUCAUAGAGGAAUCACACCAUAGGAAAAUAGAACAAUAAUCACAAGGAUGUGACAUAGUGGACGGAAGAGAUCAUGGUUAGAUACCACUGUCUUACCUGUUGGCAAGCUGGCAGAUGUUGAAGGUGCCUCCCCACCAAGGGCCAGUGUAGCUCCCAGCUCACUCUCUGGGACUGGGCAAGGAAGAGACUGCACAGCUUGCCUUCUGUAUUCAGGACACUGUCUGCAGACAAUGUAUGGCUGACUGCGAGGAGAAGAAGCAGAGCUAUGGUUACAAACGAACAGGCCCCAGGCAGACAUGCAGAUAUCAUCGUUACAUCAUCACCAACCCCUAGCUCCAGGUGUUGGGCUUCUACCCUUCAAGACCUCUGCUCUACCUCUGCUCACCUGCAGCACCACUUCAGCAAUUGUGAAGAAGGCAAUGAACCCCAUUUUUCUGCCCAGCUCCUACUACAGGGAUGACACUACCCAUAACUACCUGGAACAGGAGUCUGAAAGUGAGGAUCACAUCUACCACAAGAUAGCUGUUCUGUACUCAGCUACUUUCCUGCUCAAUCCCUCACACCCCAUGCUCUAGGACACUCUACCUUGGACCACCUAGUACCUACUCAGUGGACAUGAACUCAUAGGCUUCAAAGCCAAGAAAAUUCAGGUUCAUGAGAGAAAACUACACUGCCAGUC
ensembl:processed_transcript Gm15787 predicted gene 15787